rnacentral:rRNA from 1 species
GACGAACGCUGGCGGCGUGCUUAACACAUGCGAGUCGAACGGAAAGGCCUUUUCGGCGGUACUCGAGUGGCGAACGGGUGAGUAACACGUGGGUGAUCUGCCCUGCACUCUGGGAUAAGCCUGGGAAACUGGGUCUAAUACCGGAUAGGACCGCACUUUAGUGUGUGUGGUGGAAAGUUUUUUCGGUGUAGGAUGAGCCCGCGGCCUAUCAGCUUGUUGGUGGGGUAAUGGCCUACCAAGGCGGCGACGGGUAGCCGGACUGAGAGGUUGGUCGGCCACAUUGGGACUGAGAUACGGCCCAGACUCCUACGGGAGGCAGCAGUGGGGAAUAUUGCACAAUGGGCGCAAGCCUGAUGCAGCGACGCCGCGUGGGGGAUGACGGCCUUCGGGUUGUAAACGCCUUUCGCCAGGGACGAAGCGUUUUGUGACGGUACCUGGAGAAGAAGCACCGGCUAACUACGUG